GUCCACGCCGUAACGAUGGGUGCUAGGUGUGGGCGGUGUCGACUCCGUCCGUGCCGAAGCUAACGCAUUAAGCACCCGCCUGGGAGUACGGCCGCAAGGCUAAACUCAAAGGAAUUGACGGGGCCCGCACAAGCAGCGGAGCAUGUGGUUCAAUUCGACGCAACGCGAAGAACCUUACCAAGGCUUGACAUGCACAGGAAUGUCCGGAGAAAUUCGGCAGCCCUUCGGGGCCUGUGCACAGGUGGUGCAUGGCUGCCGU
rnacentral:rRNA from 1 species